rnacentral:misc_RNA from 1 species
GGAGAUGUUAAUAUUUCAAAAUUGUUGGAAAGAGGAUUAGAGUCAACAACGCAGCAUGUGCUUUUGCUUUGCAAUUUGCAUAGUCUACUUGACAUGCGAGUUGCUAUUCUUUUACCCAUAAGAGAAUUAGGAGGAAAAUUUAGUCGGUCGGCAGCACCACAUGUUCCACCUCAACCUCAGAGCUAGGUGGCUAAGCUAUAGGGGGUAAAGGUAAAAGUAACAUCACAUAAAAG